GGCCGCGUGGCCUAAUGGUAAGGCGUCUGACUACGAUUUCCCUCCCCGGGGUUGUGAUCAGGAGAUUGCAGGUUCGAGACCUGCCGCGGUCA